rnacentral:rRNA from 1 species
UACGUAGGCAGCGAGCGUUGUUCGGAGUUACUGGGCGUAAAGAGUGCGUAGGCGGUUUUCUAAGUUUGGUGUGAAAUCUCCCGGCUUAACUGGGAGGGUGCGCCGAAAACUGGAAGGCUUGAGUAUGGGAGAGGUAAGCGGAAUUCCUGGUGUAGCGGUGAAAUGCGUAGAUAUCAGGAGGAACACCGGUGGCGAAGGCGGGUCUCUGGGCCGAUACUGACGCUGAGGAGCGAAAGCGUGGGGAGCGAACAGG